AAGCAUCGAUUUGUGUUCCAGCUCUAGUGCGUCACUUUGUUAAUCAAAAUAUUAGAAAAACUUCAUUUCCGCCUCAAAAGUGCAGCUCGCCAUCGUGCGAAAGUGUUAAUAAUCGCGCGUUUGUUCGGUUAAACUAAAAAGCGCUAAAAGGCGAUGAAAAUCAAGCUAAAAAGCAUCGUUUUUUGUUCUUAAAAUUUACUUACGGCAGCCACACACACUCACGCAGCUCACGGACGCACACACAAACACAUACUUAAGGAAAGCAGCACACACGCACGCGGAGAGAAGAGCAGCAAGAAGAAGCAGACCAUCAAACUUAAAAUUUGCGAGCCUUCGACCGUACAUUCCUUGGCACAGGCAAGUCUUGGCUGAGAGGAGGACGAAUUGCACCCGCCCGGCACACAGCACACAGCAUGUUCAGUGGACAUGGGCGGAUUCCUGGAUAAGCCGAAAACCGCCAAGCACAAUGACCAGGGCGAGGGCAACAAGCUGCUCUUCGGAGUCAGCUCGAUGCAGGGAUGGCGGUCAGAGAUGGAGGACGCCUACUACGCUCGUGCCGGGCUGGGGGAUGACCUGCAGGACUGGAGCUUCUUUGCCGUCUUCGAUGGCCAUGCCGGAUGCAAGGUAUCGGAGCACUGUGCCAAGCAUCUUUUGGACAGCAUCGUCAGCACGGAGGAGUUCAUUGGCGGUGACCAUGUGAAGGGAAUUCGCACUGGCUUCCUGCGCAUCGAUGAGGUGAUGCGGGAAUUGCCAGAAUUCACCCGGGAGACAGAGAAAUGCGGCGGCACCACCGCCGUAUGCGCCUUUGUCAGCCUCACGCAGGUGUACAUCGCUAAUUGCGGGGACUCCAGGGCAGUCUUGUGCCGCCAGGGAGUUCCGGUGUUCGCCACGCAGGACCACAAACCUAUUCUGCCAGAGGAAAAGGAGCGCAUCCACAAUGCCGGCGGCAGUGUUAUGAUAAAGCGAGUGAAUGGCACCCUCGCCGUUUCGAGAGCUCUCGGGGAUUACGACUUUAAGAACGUCAAGGAGAAGGGACAGUGCGAGCAGCUGGUGUCGCCGGAACCGGAGAUAUUUUGCCAGAGCCGCCAGGAUAGCGAUGAGUUCUUGGUGCUUGCCUGCGACGGAAUAUGGGAUGUGAUGACUAAUGAGGAUGUAUGCAGCUUCAUUCACUCGCGGCUAAGGGUAACCAGCGACCUAGUGAGCAUCGCCAACCAAGUGGUGGACACCUGCCUGCACAAGGGUAGUCGCGAUAACAUGAGCAUCAUCAUCAUUGCUUUCCCUGGAGCUCCGAAGCCCACCGAGGAGGCGAUAGAGGCUGAGCAUCGGCUGGAGAAACAAAUCGAGAAGAUCACAAGAGACGAAAUAGAGUCUAGCAAGAUAACCGACUACGUGGAUCUGCUGAAGUGCCUGCAGAACAGAGACGACAUCGAAGGUCUUCCACCCGGAGGCGGUCUGCAGUCCAAAUAUCACGUUAUCGAGCGCACAUUCAAGCAAGAGUUUCCGGAUCGACCAUGUGAACUGUAUGCAUAUGAUGAUAUAUGAAUUUUGUAAUGCUAAUUGUUCAUUUUAAAACCAACCAACAACCAACCAACCAGCAAGAGAACAAAGAUAACUAAACACCCUAUGCUUCACAUACUCUAAAUACUUGACAGUUCCUGCAUGUUUCAUCUCUUUUCAACUCGCUUCCGUUUCCGUUUCUGCCUCCGCUUCAGCCGCAAGUCUGCCUGCAUCCUGUAGUCCAACGCAUUAGGUUGCAGUCGAAACACUAAACAAAACCAGUUAAGCAAAUGCAGCAACCAGAUCAGAUCAGAAAGCAGAGCCACACAACUUGAACGAAGCAAACAAACAAGAACACACACCAAACAGUUUUCUACUUUGAUAAACACAAAAUAAAAACCUACUAAUAAUGAUAAUAAUAAGAAUAACGAUACAUUUAUAGUUUAUACGAAAGCAGUCCUAAACACAACAAAACGAACAGCCAAGCCCCACACAACUCUAAGAUAUAGGAGAGAUCUAGAACAGAGCGUACCUGAGCAGACCUCAGAGAACACGAAAUCGGAUCGGAAUCAGAGGAUAGCUUUUCAGCCAGAGAAAGCAUCACACCCAAAAGAUUACUCCGAUCAGAUCCCUCUGAAGGACCCAACUAUCUAUUUGAAUGUUAGCCUUCUGUUUGCCCUAUCGUUCCGUCACUCCUCAUCAAUCAGCAAUCACCAGUACAACCGCCAGAAAAACUUUUUGAAAACGUGGAAAAAUAAUGUAAUUAAAAACGGAGGACAGUUGAAAGCGCGAGAUUUCCUCGUUCAAAUAUUUGUGUACAAGAACCUUUUUAUUUCAUAUUCAAAAAACCAUGUAUUAACUAUUGAUUCCGAAUGCGGACUUUUGUAAGUUGUAAAAUGUUUGUUACUGAAAACACUUUUUGUUCACCUUUUAUAUGUAUAUGAGAAGAUGUGUCGCCAAGCCUGAAGCGAAACUUAAUAAGGUAAAGUAAAAAACAAAAAAAUGUUUAAAAGAAAACAGAAAAAAUGGUAAAAGAAAACCAAACUAGCAAACAAACCUGUAACUAUCUAUGUACGGAAACGAAAAAGUAAUACCUAAAACCUAAAGUAAGCGAAGCAAAACAAAAGCAAAUCCACAAUAAUGUCCGAUCUUAAAGAAACGAGAAUGAAAACUAUAAACUAUUAAUUUAUAAGAAGCAAGUUGAUGAUGAAAAUCUUAAGAGAGAAAAGCAAAAUUACGCUCGAGUUUGUAGUAAAUGUUGAUAUAAAAAACAAAAA